ACACAUGCAAGUCGAGGGGCAGCAUGGUCUUAGCUUGCUAAGGCCGAUGGCGACCGGCGCACGGGUGAGUAACACGUAUCCAACCUGCCGUCUACUCUUGGACAGCCUUCUGAAAGGAAGAUUAAUACAAGAUGGCAUCAUGAGUCCGCAUGUUCACAUGAUUAAAGGUAUUCCGGUAGACGAUGGGGAUGCGUUCCAUUAGAUAGUAGGCGGGGUAACGGCCCACCUAGUCUUCGAUGGAUAGGGGUUCUGAGAGGAAGGUCCCCCACAUUGGAACUGAGACACGGUCCAAACUCCUACGGGAGGCAGCAGUGAGGAAUAUUGGUCAAUGGGCGCAGGCCUGAACCAGCCAAGUAGCGUGAAGGAUGACUGCCCUAUGGGUUGUAAACUUCUUUUAUAAAGGAAUAAAGUCGGGUAUGUAUACCCGUUUGCAUGUACUUUAUGAAUAAGGAUCGGCUAACUCCGUGCCAGCAGCCGCGGUAAUACGGAGGAUCCGAGCGUUAUCCGGAUUUAUUGGGUUUAAAGGGAGCGUAGAUGGAUGUUUAAGUCAGUUGUGAAAGUUUGCGGCUCAACCGUAAAAUUGCAGUUGAUACUGGAUAUCUUGAGUGCAGUUGAGGCAGGCGGAAUUCGUGGUGUAGCGGUGAAAUGCUUAGAUAUCACGAAGAACUCCGAUUGCGAAGGCAGCCUGCUAAGCUGCAACUGACAUUGAGGCUCGAAAGUGUGGGUAUCAAACAGGAUUAGAUACCCUGGUAGUCCACACGGUAAACGAUGAAUACUCGCUGUUUGCGAUAUACUGCAAGCGGCCAAGCGAAAGCGUUAAGUAUUCCACCUGGGGAGUACGCCGGCA
rnacentral:rRNA from 1 species